GAUGAAUGCUGGCGGCGUGCCUAAUACAUGCAAGUCGAGCGAAGCGGGGACGGGUGAGUAAUACGUGGAUAACCUCCUAUAAGACUGGGAUAACUUCGGUAAACCGGCGCUAAACCGGAUACUUCCAGCUUGAUCCGCGCUGCAUUAGCUAGUUGGUAAGGUAACGGCUUACCAAGGCAACGAUGCAUAGCCGACCCGAGAGGGUGAUCGGCCACACUGGAACUGAGAAACGGUCCAGACUCCUGCGGGAGGCAGCAGUAGGGAAUCUUCCGCAAUGGGCGAAAGCCUGACGGAGCAACGCCGCCUGAGUGAUGAAGGUCUUCGGAUCGUAAAACUCUGUUAUUAGGGAAGCGGUACCUGUUCAGAAAGCCACGGCUAACUACGUGCCAGCAGCCGCUGUAAUUC
rnacentral:rRNA from 1 species